rnacentral:ncRNA from 28 species
CUUUUUAGCUGGUUUGUGGAAAACCAACAACCUCGCUGUUGAAGGAACGGGAAGGCGGUGCGAAUCCGCCACUGCCCCGCAACUGUGAGCGAUUGGGAAAGCCCGCCAGUAGCCACUGUCCCGGCUUGCCGGGAUGGGAAGGCCAAGGCUUGAAGAAGCCGCACGCUUCUUCCAAUCGCAAGUCAGAAGACCACUUCGACAGCUUUUUGACGUUC